rnacentral:rRNA from 1 species
UACGUAGGGGGCAAGCGUUGUCCGGAUUUAUUGGGCGUAAAGAGCGUGUAGGCGGCCAGGCAGGUCCGUUGUGAAAACUCGAGGCUCAACCUCGAGACGCCGAUGGAAACCAUCUGGCUAGAGUCCGGAAGAGGAGAGUGGAAUUCCCGGUGUAGCGGUGAAAUGCGCAGAUAUCAGGAAGAACACCCGUGGCGAAAGCGACUCUCUGGGACGGUACUGACGCUGAGACGCGAAAGCGUGGGGAGCGAACAGG